rnacentral:rRNA from 1 species
UACGGAGGGUGCAAGCGUUAUCCGGAUUCACUGGGUUUAAAGGGUGCGUAGGAGGGCAGGUAAGUCAGUGGUGAAAUCCCCGAGCUUAACUUGGGAACUGCCGUUGAUACUAUCUGUCUUGAAUACCGUGGAGGUGAGCGGAAUAUGUCAUGUAGCGGUGAAAUGCUUAGAUAUGACAUAGAACACCAAUUGCGAAGGCAGCUCACUACACAAUCAUUGACGCUGAGGCACGAAAGCGUGGGGAUCAAACAGG